CCAGUUUCACCAAACAGGAACUGAGAUCCAUUCAGAUCCAGUUCUACACUGAGAGGAGGAGUCAAUGCAAAACUCAGAUGUCUUCCACCUCUACUUAUCUGACUGCAGAGAGGAGGACAGAGGACAGUGGACACACAGUUUAACAUGAUGGACUAUAGGACAGGACUGCUGCUUUUAACCAUCUGCUGCUGGACAGGUGUUUCCAGUCAGACUCUGACUGAGUCUGAACCAGCGGUAAAGCGCCCAGGAGAUUCACACAAACUGACAUGUACUUAUGCAGGAAUAUCAGAUAGCGAUGCUCAUAUCGCCUGGAUCAGACAAGCUGAAGGAAAAGGACUGGAGUGGGUUGCCUAUAUUUCUGCUCCGAGUGGAAGCACUAAAGCGUAUUCCACGUCAGUCCAGAAUCGGUUCACCAUCUCCAGAGACAACAACGUGGACCAGGUGUAUCUGCAGAUGAGCAGCCUGACGACUGAAGACUCUGCUGUUUAUUACUGUGCUCGACGGCCACAGUGAUACAGGAAGCCACAGAGCCGUACACAAACCACCGCAGAUGUCACUGCACCAGUCACU